GCAGUUGAGAUUUGCUUUUCCAUCCUUGUCUUCUGAAUGUCUAAAAUCUCUACAUCUUUCUGAAGUUUAACAACUGUCUCUAGAGGUUUGCCAGGCAACAGCUCAAAGCUUUGCAGAAUCUUAGAUCUGGAAUUAAAGAAUUCAAGCCCAAAUUGUGAGAACCAGAUUUUACUCAACAGAAAGCUUUUUCUAAGGAAUCUGAGUUGUUCACUGGUGGACAGUGGUAGGGCUUGAGCGCUCCUUGUUAAUAGGAUGGGCCACGCUCCCUCUCUGGAUAUUCACCCAGGCCUCUUCAGAAUAGGUUUUGUUCUGGCCAGAAGUGUGGUCUAGAAGAUGGCUAAGCUCUUUGCCAGCUCUCAUUUGGAGUUUUAUUAUUGCAUAAAAUCUUCGCUCACUCUGCAAAUCUAUAUCUGCCACCUUCGGCACCAGGUGGUGCAGGGGCACUUCUAAGUGGGAUCUUUUUGUUACAGCACAACUCCCAGACAGUCCUCUGGGUCUUUGGAUUUGUCAGCAUUCCAGCAAACUAGCCCUGCUUAGAAGUUAGCACAAGACGGCACAAUGCAGGACUCCGUAGGCAAAAUCACAACCUUGCCAUUAAAAAAAAUUUUUUUAUAUACGCAUUUGCAGGUGUUCCCUUCAGUGUGGUGUUUUGAAUUUGCUCUUUGUCAUCUGUAUAACUGCCAAAUGAUUGUAGUGAUACACGUGACCUGCAUUCACUUUUUCUAGUUUCCUUAAUUAUGUUUAGAAUAAAUUCAUUUCCCUAGAGCAAGAACCACAAACAGGUAGUGUGGAGCAUACACCAAAUUUAGAAGCAUGUGGAUGAGGUCAGUGCUCACACUGCCUAGUCCACAGGGAGGGGAUGCUGCAUGAAUAUAUACUCGCCUCUGAGUGGAGGAGAAAUCGUGGCAUGAAAGAGAGGGUACCAGUGAUGACUUCUUAUCCCUGGAGCUGGGCUUUCAUUGCUACCCAUAUCCCAGCCCUGCAAGUCUGUUCUGGCCAGCACAGACACCGCAGAUCCGGAACUGAAUGUUCCUAAAUGGCACAGCCAAUCCAGACUUCUCAGAAACUGGGCAAAAACAUUAAAAUGGGGAUGAUCAGGUCUUCUGCAGUGGUCCAACACAAGAUUUCUUUUAAAUGUUUCAAAAACAUGUCCUUAAAAUUUCAGCCUGCUUCUUAGCGAGUGGGCCAGUUUUGCUUAAAACUGGUUGGGGGGGGGAUGUUUUUAAAAAUUGCCAAAAAGUUAGAUGAAAAUGUAUUACUGUAUAAAGCAAAGCUGUAUAUACUAAACAUUUUUUAGCAGAGUAAUAUUUAUUUGCAUAGUCUAUUUAUUGUAUUCGUAUUACACUGUUAUUAAAUACUGGGAUGAAAUCAGUGACCUGAAGCAAGAAAUCUUGCCUUUUAAUGUAUCAUUAAUUAGGGCUGCUGUGAUAUUGUCAGCUUGCAUUAACAAUUAGAAGAUAGAGAACCCGCCAUCAGGGUGUCUACCUAACUUCUCAGGGACUACACUUGGUAGUUUUCCACCAUUUAAAGAACUGGUAAAUAUGAAACAUUUGUUGAGUUACCAGAAUUGCCAUUAACAGUGUUUUCUUUCCCAUAUUCCAUGCUUUCUGCCUCUGUGUAUAUAUGUUAUAUAUAUAUAUGACUGUGCUGUGUAUUUAUCGAAGCUAGUAAGCAAUAAUUUAUAUGUAAAAAUGGCCAAGCAAUAUAAGGUUAAAACUUAUGUAAGUAACCCUUACCUUAUCUUGUAUUUUCAAUUGUUUUUUUUUAAACUGCUUUUCCAAAUAUGAGACUAUGUUAAAGA
ensembl:lncRNA